CCUACAUGCAAAUAUAUAUCAAUUUAAUUAUGUUAGAAAGGAAACUUUUCAUAUAAAUUCGUGGAUAACAAAAAGGCUAAUGAAAAAAAAAACCUAAACGCAAUUAAUUUAAACGAUUAAUGCCCAGUUUUCUCAAUAUAGAUUCACUUUAAUCUCAACUUAUUCUUUAUCUUUUUCUAGUUCUAAGAAUUAAAAAAAGAUAGGUUAAAUCGAAAUUAAAGUUAAUCUACAUUGGUACAAAUGGAUAUAAGAAAUGGCAGCAAAAAAUUGAAUUACAAAUGGAAAUUAAGAAUUGUGCUUACCAUUUUACAGCGCUUCUUAGCAUUAUUUGAUACUACGCGUUUUUCCCGCACAAUUUCGAGGGAUUUAUCAGGAGACCCUGACAGUGAGUUGAAGUAUAUCGCAGGUUUCCUCUGACUAGACUUGCACCUUAUUUUGCUCAUCAAGGUGGGAUGUAAUCGCUACAAAAGUAACAAAAAGAGAGUAAUCGAAAUUCCUUUAGAGAUCAUAAUCUACAAUAAUAAAAGAAGAUCUAUUGAAAGUUGGACACAGUCACUGGCGUAUAAUUAAUUAUAUAAUAAUUACAUAAAGCAAUUCUAAAUUUAGAGUGAAUUUUAGAUGAUUUAUUGUUAAAAAUCAAGGUGAAAAGGUGCCUUUCAUAUCAAAAUAAAUCCUUACAUUUUUCCUUUAAAAUAUCCUUAAAGGAAGUUGAGAAAAUUAGAUUUUUACUUUUUUUACUUAAAAUAUUUAUUUAAUGACAAAAAUAAAAGAAACAAAAAAUUAAUAAAGGAAAUCAAAGCCUAAGACAUAUAACAGUUCAUAUUUAGUUCAAAGUUAGUUAUAAUUUAGUUCAAAGUCAGUUUAGAUUAAUUCUGUGAUGAUUAAAUAUCUCAAUUCAUUUUGUUAUCUAUAUACUAUUUUAAUCUUGUUUUAAGUUAUCUUUUUUAUUAGGUUUAUAUAAAAGGUGUCACAAUUUUUACAAUUAAUUUUAUAUACUACAUUAUUAUUAGUUGUUAGAGUCCUUUGUUCUUUAGAAACUUUUUAUUUCUAAUCAAGCUUUCUAACACAUCUUUUCAAACAAUCAUAUUCUGGCUCAUAUUCUGAUAAAACACUGAAUGAGGAUCGCCACUUUUUUCCCUGGUACAGGAUUAAAAAAAAUAUUAAUGAAUAUCUUUAUUAGAAAUGUCUGAAAUCCACUAAAUUUCAUAUCUUUAACUUGAUUUGAGGAAGUCCAAAAUUUGAGAAAAAAAAUAAAAAUCUAAUUUUCUUUUGGAGGAAUGAAUUUAUAUAUGUGAAACAUCCUCGUUAAUUUUUUUACAAAAACAAUACCCCAAAUUUUUCGCAUAUAUUUGGAAUCACCCUGUAUAAUAAAUUAUACAAUUGUAAAUAUAAAAAGAAUAAUAAAACGAGUUAUCAAAAAGAGUAAUAAAACAAUAUUAAAUGCAAAAACAGAUGAUAACUGGCGCUCAGGCUGUCUGACUGACCCUUCUUUCAACUUUGUGGUUUCAUAUCAAGAAGCCUUCUUUUCAUUCUACUGAUCUACACUAAUCAAUUCCAUCAGCUUUUAACAAUUUACCUUUACAUGACUAAGAAAAUUUCCUGUAGAUUUCAGAUUGCCAUUCAACUGUUUCUUACACUGCUGACAACGCACUGUGACAUUGGUGUCUUCCACCCUAGUUACAGCAAAGUAUUCUCCAUCCAAUAAAGCAGGCAAUCUAACCGGAAUCAUCUUCUGUUCGGCAUUCGACUCUAUAUGCGUCACCUGACUGAACGAUGUCGCACUGAUGAUUCGCCGCGACUAUAGAUUCAUCGUACGUCUCGAACGUUUCCAUCUUGCUCUCGUAAUCCUGUGUGAAGGUAUCCAUAACAGCGGAGUGUAUGCAGGCCUCGCUGGUGGAUAUGACAGCAAUCGAACGUCGCGGUGACACUACCUAUCGUCGGAAUCUUAUUGAAUUUUAGAUAAGCUGAGCCAGAUAAGAGCUGUCGCCCGGGGCAAAUCUAGAUCAGAUAAUAGAUGAGAAGCAUGUGUGAGUUAGAGAUUAAAUGUAUCGUGCGUACCAACUUACAUCCGAUCAAGGUUGCGGCGCCCGGGGUUACGUCCGCGCGUCGCUAGGGCCAGGGCGGCCGGGUGAGAAACGCUGGACGUUCCAUACGCGCUGUUCCCCUCCGUAAACACGUAAACGAAUAACAAUAGUUGCCUCCGACAAUUCUUCUAUUGUCCGAGUGUGGUGGCGGCACUGAAGUAAACAAGACAUCUUUAGAGCUCGGUCUCGUUAUUACGCAUUAAUAUUUCUCGUAACUUAAUACAUAUAAUUAUGAAUAA